GGAGGGGGCCAGCGUUGUUCGGAAUUAUUGGGCGUAAAGGGCGCGUAGGCGGCUCGGCAAGUCAGUUGUGAAAUCCCUCGGCUCAACCGAGGAACUGCGACUGAAACUGCCGGACUUGAGUCCCGGAGAGGGUAGCGGAAUUCCCAGUGUAGCGGUGAAAUGCGUAGAUAUUGGGAGGAACACCGGUGGCGAAGGCGGCUACCUGGACGGGUACUGACGCUGAGGCGCGAAAGCGUGGGGAGCAAACAGGAUUAGAUACCCUGGGUAGUCCACGCUGUAAACGAUGGGCACUUGGUGUUGCGGGUAUCGACCCCCCCUGCAGUGCCGAAGCUAACGCAUUAAGUGCCCCGCCUGGGGAGUACGGUCGCAAGGCUG
rnacentral:rRNA from 1 species